rnacentral:tRNA from 1 species
GCGCGGGUGGUGGAAUGGUAGACACGCAUGCUUGAGGUGCAUGUGCCCAAAAGGCGUGAAGGUUCGAGUCCUUUUCCGCGCACCA